GCAAAGAGGAGCAUCAGAAUAAGACGUGGGCCAUCACAGGAGCAAAUGAAACACUGGGUUCCUGUCAGUGAAUAGGGCGGCUGCCAGCCUUACAAGACCCAGGGGACAGGCUUCCUGAAGAGGACUUUUUCAAUCCCCAUCAUCCUCAGGUAUUUGGAAUGUUAACUCCGUUCCACUCCAAUUUCCUUUCACGGAAGCCCUAGCUGUCACACGCAGCUGAAAAGAUACCCUAAGACAACUGAAAGUUUCUGGCGGAGGCUACACCUCAAUGUUACCUGAAGGCCCUGGACUAACUCCAGUUCCCAACGGCCUGUGAGGGCGUUGGCACCAGAAAUUCCAGCAUUUCCUACUGCAUUUUCCUCCUUUCUUUUCAUGGCUGUCAUAUCUUCUAUUGCUUCUUUGUAUACAAUGUUACAGCAUUUUUACAAGCUGUGGAUACAUUCUUGUUGGGUAAACUCAGUAGGUGUUACAGUAAUCAGGAAUGUAAUUCAAAUAGGUACUGUUUAUGUGAUUUCCUAGAAAUGUUAAAGGGGAAUUUAACAUUUCUGUCUAAAUUUGCACCCUGAGAUCAAUAAACCAAUUAGAAGACUGACAAACAGAAAAUCUCACAACUGCUAGAUCUUCUUAUGGCUACAUAGUCACAUAUAUAUUAUGCAUGUGAUAUCUAUAAAAAAA